GUCUUCGGAUGCUGACGAGUGGCGAACGGGUGAGUAAUACAUCGGAACGUGCCUAGUAGUGGGGGAUAACUACUCGAAAGAGUAGCUAAUACCGCAUGAGAUCUACGGAUGAAAGCAGGGGACCUUUGGGCCUUGUGCUACUAGAGCGGCUGAUGGCAGAUUAGGUAGUUGGUGGGGUAAAGGCUUACCAAGCCUGCGAUCUGUAGCUGGUCUGAGAGGACGACCAGCCACACUGGGACUGAGACACGGCCCAGACUCCUACGGGAGGCAGCAGUGGGGAAUUUUGGACAAUGGGCGAAAGCCUGAUCCAGCAAUGCCGCGUGCAGGAUGAAGGCCCUCGGGUUGUAAACUGCUUUUGUACGGAACGAAAAGCCUGGGGCUAAUAUCCCCGGGUCAUGACGGUACCGUAAGAAUAAGCACCGGCUAACUACGUGCCAGCAGCCGCGGUAAUACGUAGGGUGCAAGCGUUAAUCGGAAUUACUGGGCGUAAAGCGUGCGCAGGCGGUUUUGUAAGACAGUGGUGAAAUCCCCGGGCUCAACCUGGGAACUGCCAUUGUGACUGCAAG
rnacentral:rRNA from 1 species